GAGUUUGAUCCUGGCUCAGGAUGAACGCUAGCGGCAGGCCUAAUACAUGCAAGUCGAACGGUAACAUUGGUGCUUGCACCAGAUGACGAGUGGCGCACGGGUGCGUAACGCGUAUGCAAUCUACCUUUUACUAGAGUAUAGCCCAGAGAAAUCUGGAUUAAUCCUCUAUAAUAUCUUUUAAUUUCAUGAUUUUAAGAUUAAAGUUUUAACGGUAAAAGAUGAGCAUGCGUCCUAUUAGUUUGUAGGUGAGGUAACGGCCCACCUAGACUACGAUAGGUAGGGGCCCUGAGAGGGGGAUCCCCCACACUGGUACUGAGACACGGACCAGACUCCUACGGGAGGCAGCAGUAAGGAAUAUUGGACAAUGGACGAAAGUCUGAUCCAGCCAUGCCGCGUGCAGGAUGAAAGCCCUACGGGUUGUAAACUGCUUUUAUACAGGAAGAAACACUCCGACGUGUCGGAGCUUGACGGUACUGUAAGAAUAAGGAUCGGCUAACUCCGUGCCAGCAGCCGCGGUAAUACGGAGGAUCCAAGCGUUAUCCGGAAUCAUUGGGUUUAAAGGGUCCGCAGGCUGUUUUUUAAGUCAGAGGUGAAAUCCUACAGCUCAACUGUAGAACUGCCUUUGAUACUGAAAAACUUGAGUUAUUGUGAAGUGGUUAGAAUGUGUGGUGUAGCGGUGAAAUGCAUAGAUAUCACACAGAAUACCGAUUGCGAAGGCAGAUCACUAACAAUAUACUGACGCUCAUGGACGAAAGCGUGGGGAGCGAACAGGAUUAGAUACCCUGGUAGUCCACGCCGUAAACGAUGGAUACUAGCUGUUCGUCUAACAUUGGUUAGAUGAGUGGCUAAGCGAAAGUGA
rnacentral:rRNA from 1 species